rnacentral:misc_RNA from 1 species
CUUCUAUCUUCCCUUUGCUUCUUCCUACUGUAACUGCUCUGACCUUGUCCUUGCUGUUGAAUCUUCUCUUCUUCUUAAUCCCAAUUCCAUUCUCUCUGAUCAGGAAAUUGUUUGAGCUCCAAGGAAUUUUCAAGAACGAUGGGAGGAGUUUGUUCUGGAGGGACGAAAGGAAAGCAUGAUAAAGUUGCAGCACAGAAAAAUCCUGGGUUUUCUGGGAAGCUAAACUCAAUUAAGAGCUUUAGCAAGCAUAAAGAGAAUUUUCAUUCCUUUACUAAUAACAAUGAUGAUAAUUUUGGCAAGACUACCACUCCGCAGAGGUAUAAUUCCGGUGAGCUGUUAUUGUCUUUCUCAAGAGAACUUAAGCCGUCAACGCCUGCUAGGGGAGGGGCUGCCAAGGAUGGCCAGAAGAGUUCAUUUAUAGGGAAAGCUGGCACUGUGAGCUUGGAGAAAGCAGUUGACGUUUUAGACACUCUUGGAAGUAGCAUGUCAAAUCUGAAUGCCCGGAGUGGUUUUAUCUCCGGCAUGGCUUCUAGAGGGAACAGAAUAUCAAUAUUGUCAUUUGAAGUAGCCAACACAAUAGCCAAAGGUGCAAACUUGUUUCAAUCGCUUUCAGAAGAAAAUGUUCAGUUCCUGAAGAAAGAAAUAUUACAUUCGGAAGGGGUACAACAAUUGGUUUCCACAGAUAUGAAAGAGUUGCUAAUUCUUGCUGCUGCUGAUAAAAGGGAGGAAUUUGAUGUAUUUGCAAAGGAAGUAAUUCGGUUUGGAGAUCUAUGUAAAGACCCACAAUGGCACAACCUGGGUCGAUAUUUUACAAAAUUAGAUUCAGAUUAUUCCGAUGAUAAACAAUCUAGAGCAGAGGCAGAAACCACAAUGCAAGAGUUGACUACUUUGGCCCAACAUACCUCUGAAUUAUAUCAUGAAUUGCAUGCUUUGGACAGAUUUGAACAAGAUUACCAGCAGAAGCUUGAAGAAGUGGAGUCCUUACAUCUCCCAAAAAAAGGAGAGAGUCUCACGAUUUUACAAAGUGAGCUAAAACAACAAAGAAAGCUUGUGAGGAGCUUGAAAAAGAAAUCCCUGUGGUCUAAAAAUAUGGAGGAGAUCAUGGAGAAGCUUCUUGAUAUAGUUACCUACUUGCACCAAGCUAUCUUAGAUGCAUUUGGAAACAAUGGUGUCAGACCAGCCAGUGAAGAGCCUGAAAAGAAUCCUGAAAGGCUAGGUCCAGCUGGUCUUGCUCUGCACUAUGCUAAUGUUAUUAACCAGAUUGAUACCAUUACAUCUCGUCCCACCUCCCUUCCUCCUAAUACAAGGGACAAUUUGUAUCAUGGGUUGCCAAUCAGUAUUAAGACAGCUCUACGUUCCCAACUACAGAUGGUUGACCCUAAGGAAGAGUUCACAGUAGCUCAGGUGAAAGCUGAAAUGGAAAAGACUCUUGAGUGGCUUGUACCCCUUGCCGCUAACACAAACAAAGCACAUCAAGGUUUUGGGUGGGUUGGAGAAUGGGCAAAUACUGGAAAUGAAUUUG